rnacentral:rRNA from 1 species
UACGUAGGGGGCAAGCGUUGUCCGGAAUUAUUGGGCGUAAAGAGCGUGUAGGCGGUCCGGUAAGUCGGUUGUGAAAGUCCAGGGCUCAACCCUGGGAUGCCGAUCGAUACUGCCGGACUAGAGUCCGGAAGAGGCGAGUGGAAUUCCCGGUGUAGCGGUGAAAUGCGCAGAUAUCGGGAGGAACACCAAUGGCGAAGGCAGCUCGCUGGGACGGUACUGACGCUGAGACGCGAAAGCUAGGGGAGCGAACAGG